rnacentral:rRNA from 1 species
GUUUGACCUCGGAUCAGGUAGGAAUACCCGCUGAACUUAAGCAUAUCAAUAAGCGGAGGAAAAGAAACCAACAGGGAUUGCCCCAGUAACGGCGAGUGAAGCGGCAACAGCUCAAAUUUGAAAUCUGGCCCCUCGGGCCCGAGUUGUAAUUUGCAGAGGAUGCUUUUGGUGAGGCGCCGCCUGAGUUCCCUGGAACGGGACGCCAUAGAGGGUGAGAGCCCCGUCUGGCUGGCCGCCGAGCCUCUGUAAAGCUCCUUCGACGAGUCGAGUAGUUUGGGAAUGCUGCUCUAAAUGGGAGGUAUAUGUCUUCUAAAGCUAAAUAUUGGCCAGAGACCGAUAGCGCACAAGUAGAGUGAUCGAAAGAUGAAAAGCACUUUGAAAAGAGGGUUAAAUAGUACGUGAAAUUGUUGAAAGGGAAGCGCUCAUGACCAGACUUGGGCCUGGCGAAUCAUCCGGCGUUCUCGCCGGUGCACUUCGCCAGGCUCAGGCCAGCAUCAGUUCGCCGCGGGGGAUAAAGGUUUCGGGAACGUGGCUCCUCCGGGAGUGUUAUAGCCCGUUGCGUAAUACCCUGCGGUGGACUGAGGUCCGCGCAUCUGCAAGGAUGCUGGCGUAAUGGUCAUCAGCGACCCGUCUUGAAACACGGACCAAGGAGUCGUCUUCGUAUGCGAGUGUUCGGGUGUCAAACCCCUACGCGUAAUGAAAGUGAACGCAGGUGAGAGCUUCGGCGCAUCAUCGACCGAUCCUGAUGUUCUCGGAUGGAUUUGAGUAAGAGCAUACGGGGCCGGACCCGAAAGAAGGUGAACUAUGCCUGUAUAGGGUGAAGCCAGAGGAAACUCUGGUGGAGGCUCGCAGCGGUUCUGACGUGCAAAUCGAUCGUCAAAUAUGGGCAUGGGGGCGAAAGACUAAUCGAACCUUCUAGUAGCUGGUUUCCGCCGAAGUUUCCCUCAGGAUAGCAGUGUUGAA